AGAGAGAGAAAGAGAGAGCCUAACUUGGUGGACGUAAAGGCUUUCUUAGUUGAGAGAAAGGGAAGGGAAAGGAAAAAGGAGGGAAAGGAAAGCAAGGAGAAAGAGAAUCAUAACUGUUAAUGUCCAUUGGUGGCUGUAAAGAGGAAAAAGUGAAGCCAAAGGAGAUGGGUGAGCAUUUCAAGGACUAUUAUAAGAGAGUUGACGUCUUGAUUGGAGAUCUAUGAGGUGAGGAGUGAGAGUAAAGUUUGAAGGAGGAAGAGGAAAGCUUGAGGUAGUGUUUGGGUGAUAAGAAAGUGAAGAAAAGUGGUG
rnacentral:misc_RNA from 1 species